rnacentral:rRNA from 1 species
GACGAACGCUGGCGGCGUGCUUAACACAUGCAAGUCGAACGGAAAGGCCCUGCUUUUGUGGGGUGCUCGAGUGGCGAACGGGUGAUUAACACGUGUGUAACCUGCCCUUGCCUUUGGGAUAACUUCAGGAAACUGGGGCUAAUACCGGAUAGUAUCUCCUGCUGCAUGUUGUGGGUAGGAAAGUUUCGGCGGUUGGGGAUGGACUCGCGGCUUAUCAGCUUGUUGGUGGGGUAGUGGCUUACCAAGGCUUUGACGGGUAGCCGGCCUGAGAGGGUGACCGGCCACAUUGGGACGGAGAUACGGCCCAGACUCCUACGGGAGGUAGGAGUGGGGAAUAGUGCACAAUGGGCGGAGGCCGGAUGCAGAAACGCCGCGUGCGGGAGGGCGGCCUUCGGGUUGUAAACCGCUUUCGCCUGUGACGAAGCGUGAGUGACGGUAAUGGGUAAAGAAGCACCGGCGAACUACGU